GUCCACGCCCUAAACGAUGUCAACUAGUUGUUGGUGGAGUAAAAUCCAUUAGUAACGCAGCUAACGCGUGAAGUUGACCGCCUGGGGGAGUACGGUCGCAAGAUUAAAACUCAAAGGAAUUGACGGGGGCCCGCACAAGCGGUGGAUUAUGUGGAUUAAUUCUAUGCAACGCGAAAAACCUUACCUGGCCUUGACAUGUACGGAACUUUCCAGAGAUGGAUUGGUGCCCGAAAGGGAGCCGUAACACAGGUGCUGCAUGGCUGUCGU
rnacentral:rRNA from 1 species